AAUUCCUGCAUUGAAAAAAACUAAGCCAUUUCAAGGAUACCACAAAUACAAAAUGUGUUGAACAGAAAUGUAAGCCGAUAGAGGAACAGAGUAAAACAGACCAAACCAACCACAAAAAUAAAAUGUGUUGCAUAAUACAAAUUGUCCCAUUGCCCACACAGCUCGCUUCACCCUCAAACCAUCGCAUCGCAUCCCAUAAUUAAAGAGCCUACUACCUCAAACCAACAAACGGCCCAACCCAUGAUUUCAAGUUGGAGGAAUCUCUUUACAAGAAGGGGUCCCAGCUAUACGAAAUAGUACCUAUAGAAUAACUGCAAAGAAAAAAACUAUGGAAAACAUCUCACAAGGGACCGUAACUCUCUAGAAUCCCUCCUCUCAAUACCCCUAAAAACCCGAUUGUUCAAGAUUAAAGCUAAAUAGGGAGUGUUCAAUUCUAGCCACCUACCUAAAUCUAAUAUCCAAUAAAUUUCUUUGACGCUAAAAUGUCGUAGAAUCAAGAGGUUUGUCCUGUGCAAGCUAGCUCGAACACUUACAAAUUUCGAACAAAAAUGGAACGUCUCAAGCUAAAAGACAGAAAAUUUUACUGCCAUCUAAGCUUUUUUCUUACAUCUGUUGUACAUUUUGGAAGUAAUAAGAAAUGAUAUGAUAUAGUGUUAGACAUGUCUCGAAAAGUUGAAAAACAUGAAAAGAAUUCUACCUUUUUCCGUGAGAUCUAUUUAUAAUUGUAGAAACAUUAUUAAAACAUAAGAAUUGGAUCAUCUUUUAAUCCUUUUUCCUUAUACCAUGAGGAGUUCGGUAUCUCUCAUAUAAAUGUGUUCAAAUGGAAAUAUGGUUCAAAUGCUUUGCAUCCAUCCUUUAAAGCAAAAGGAAAAGAUUCUAUUGGUCAAUGCUAUUAAACCAAACACUAAAGAAUAUAUGGAUGGAAAGAAAUGAUAGAUUUUCUUUUUCCCACAAAGCCAAGAAAUAGGUAGUGGGAGUAGGAGGAAUGGGCAAAAUUCAACGAUUCUCUUGGAUAUUAAGGCAAACAAAGAGUCUUUGUAUCUAUCUUUUUUUUUUUUUUUUUCCUCUUCUCUAAGUUUAACUAUUGCAGACUUGAAAGAUCCAACCAUCAACCAAGGAUAGUCAUUAAUUCCGAAUCCCCUAAGCUAUACUCGGGUUAUGAAGAGUCUUGUAUUUGUACACCAUCCAAUAUCGACGCGCAAAUCAGGGAAGAAAGUUUGAGUACAAAUGCAGACUCAAAUCCUGUGCCACAUCAGUUAAGUUUGAUACAAGACGUUUUGACGGAUGCAAAAGAUCUCUGCUAAAUAUAAUUAUAUCAAUUGAAGAAGAUUUGUAAAAGUUUAAGGAUCAGAACGGAAGAUUUGGGAAUAUAAGAAUUAAAAUGGAAUAAAUAUACACGAGAUUCCUGCAA